GGCGGCGUGCUUAACACAUGCAAGUCGAACGCGAAAGGGACUUCGGUCCUGAGUAAAGUGGCGCACGGGUGAGUAACGCGUAGAUAACCUGUCUUCAUGUCUGGAAUAAUAACGCCGAAAGGGGUACUAAUACCGGAUAUUCUUUGCUUUUCAUAAGUUAUGCAAGCAAAGGUGGCCUCUGCAUAUGCUACUGCAUGAAGAGGGGUCUGCGUACCAUUAGCUAGUAGGUGGGGUAAUGGCCUACCUAGGCGACGAUGGUUAGCGGGUCUGAGAGGAUGAUCCGCCACACUGGCACUGGAACACGGGCCAGACUCCUACGGGAGGCAGCAGUGAGGAAUAUUGCGCAAUGGGGGAAACCCUGACGCAGCGACGCCGCGUGAAGUGAGGAAGGCCUUCGGGUCGUAAAGCUCUGUCAAGAGGAAAGAAGUGUACAAUGGCUAAUACCUGUUGUAUUUGACGGUACCUCUAAAGGAAGCACCGGCUAACUCCGUGCCAGCAGCGGC
rnacentral:rRNA from 1 species